rnacentral:rRNA from 1 species
GACAGAGGGUGCAAACGUUGUUCGGAAUUACUGGGCAUAAAGAGCACGUAGGUGGUGCGCUAAGUCACGUGUGAAAUCCCCCGGCUCAACCGGGGAAUUGCGCGUGAUACUGGCGGACUCGAGGCGGGUAGGGGUGAGCGGAACUCCAGGUGGAGCGGUGAAAUGCGUAGAUAUCUGGAGGAACACCGGUGGCGAAGGCGGCAUCCUGGACCGGUAUUGACGCUGAGGCGCGAAAGCUAGGGGAGCAAACGGG